rnacentral:lncRNA from 1 species
AAAAAAAAAAAAAAAAAAAAGAGUGCUUCCACAUUAAAUCAAGAAAGACACACACACAAGUGAACUGGAAGAGUAUCACACCCUCUUAGGCCUCAAUGUCCACAACAUCACUGGCCACAGCUUUUAGUUUCAGGAGGUGAGAUAUGAAAACAAACCUAAUGGGCAAAGCAGAUCUAAACAGGGUAAGACCUGGAGCCCCGGCCCCAUGCAGCCUGCAGAAGGUGAGUGAGGUCGGCCUCCCCUCAUUCCACAGUUGCCUCUUUCCAGAGACCCUGGGUGUCUGGAGGGAUAUAGAGUGAUGUGGCCAGGCGCUGUGCCCGGGGAAAUGACAUUAAAAUUAGUAAUAGUAGGGGAAAAAAAAGAAAUACUUUCCUUUACAGACAACAGAAUGCAACUUGAGGCAAACCAUUCUAUACAUACAGUCUCAGAAACGAUUCCAGAUUUCCGACCUGCGUGUUUUGUUUCUUUGUUUGUUUAUGUCAAGACUUUACAAUUUGCCAUGAAUCAAAAACACACAUGAGCUCAGGGGAUAGAAAGAAAUAUUCAGAAAGAGUCUGAGUGGAAUUUGGAUUAGGAUGGGUGUUUUUUGGCUCCGAGUCCUGUGUCCAAGUGACAGCUGCUGUGCCAUAAUAAUAGAUCAGCUUACAAUACGUAGAUAUAGACAGGCAGACAAUAGACAAUCUGUGUAUGAAACAGGCUGCCUAAAAAUGCUGAUUAUCUAAAAGCUUGUGAGCCUAGGUCAUCAAAGCCAUCUCACCAGGUGAGUGUUCACUCUUCCCUCAGCGGGCCCUCCCAGAAGUCAUGUUAAGCAGUUUCUGACGGUAUUCAUAUUUUAAUCCUCAGAAGCCCUGGAGGCUCUCACCUCCCACUUCAGGCUGCCCAAAGUCACAGAGCCUGUGACUCCAGGACUCAUCUUUCUACAAACGCUUUGGUUGGCCAGCGCUUCCUUUUACCGUCAGCCGCCCCUGCCCGGGACACUUGCAGAUCAGGGGACUUUGUGGGUCUCAUUGAGGCUGUAUUUGCGGAUUCAAUUACGCAUUUUUAAUUCCGCAAAUAUUUGCCACUGCUGCCUGACCUGGAGCCUGUGUGGCCAGAUCCUUUGAUCGAAAGCCGUCUGCCUGUGGAUCAGACCCUGUGGUGAGUGGUGACAGCCCAGGGGUGGGGAGGCAGAUCACCCUGCUGGGUUGCUGGGGAAGGCUGUGUGGAGGCCAUAGGGUCUGAGCAAUAUACUAAGACCUAGUUAAAGAUUUGCAGCGAGAGAAUCCAUGAAACAUGAAACACGGAGGCUGUGGGGGGUCGAGUUAGGACUCUGGAUGGCCACAUCCUGACCCCCAGAACAUGCAACCACCGCCUUGUAUGGAAAGGGGGCUUUGCGGAUGUGAUAGGGCUGAGGCUCCUGAGAUGGGUGAUUUUCUUGGAUGAUCCUGGCGGGCCAAUGAAAUCACAGGGUCCUUCUGAGAGGGAGGGAGGACAGCAGAGAGGGGAAGGUGAUGUGGCCACAGAGCCAGAGAUGACGGAAGGGGCUGCCAGCCCAGGGGUCCAGGUACCACCGGAAGAAGGAAAGACAGAGACAUGGGGUCUCCCCAUGCCCAGCCCUGCAGAGACCCUGAAUUCAGCGCAGGGGUACUGAUUUGGGGGUUAUGGCCUCCAGAACUGUGAGAGAAUAAGUCUCCGUUGUCUUAUGCCACCGAGUGUGCGGUACGUGUUAUGGCAGCCACAUAGCAGGUGUGAGGAAGCUGGAGAAGGGACUGAAGAUGGGGUGCAGCUGGGACCACCCUGCUGGGCUAAGGCCAGUUCUGGAAAGAGACUGAACAGCUCUCCCUCAGGAGCAGUGAGGGAGGAACCCGUGAGUCAGUGGAGGGUGGGAGGAAACGUGGGAGGAGCCUCCGACAUCCUAGAAACGCGGGGGUACCAAAGCCAGCACCGGCCUGCGGGGGGAAAGCCGGCCUCUUACGCCCUGGAAGAGGAAACUCACAGAGAUCCCCACAACGACACCCAGCUGUGCAGGAGGCCCACGUCCUGUCUCAUUUCAUUUUCUCCUCUCGGUGAACAAAAAGAGAAGAAAAUGACAGGAGCAGAAGGUCAAAGGGAAGCAUCGAGAGAAAGAGGAUGAAUUGACACCUGUGGCUAAUUGAAGUGAAAUCAGAUCACAGAGGCCAUGAGACCCACGUCCAGAGGGCCCUAGGAGGGAGCUGUGGGCUCAGCUGGUUGAUUUACUCUGGCUUGGGUCGCUGCUACUGCUUUGAGGACAAUAAGCUUGGCCAUCACCAGACACCAGAGGAUGCUGAAGGGACAGCCGGCUAGACUAUUUCAUGGACUCUCUGAGCAUGUCCUAUUGCAGUCCAGAUGUGCCUUUCACCUCCCG